CAUGCAAGUCGAGCGAACGGAUAAGGAGCUUGCUCCUUUGAAGUUAGCGGCGGACGGGUGAGUAACACGUGGGUAACCUACCUAUAAGACUGGAAUAACUUCGGGAAACCGGAGCUAAUGCCGGAUAACAUAUAGAACCGCAUGGUUCUAUAGUGAAAGAUGGUUUUGCUAUCACUUAUAGAUGGACCCGCGCCGUAUUAGCUAGUUGGUAAGGUAAUGGCUUACCAAGGCGACGAUACGUAGCCGACCUGAGAGGGUGAUCGGCCACACUGGAACUGAGACACGGUCCAGACUCCUACGGGAGGCAGCAGUAGGGAAUCUUCCGCAAUGGGCGAAAGCCUGACGGAGCAACGCCGCGUGAGUGAUGAAGGUUUUCGGAUCGUAAAACUCUGUUAUUAGGGAAGAACAAAUGCGUAAGUAACUGUGCGCAUCUUGACGGUACCUAAUCAGAAAGCCACGGCUAA
rnacentral:rRNA from 1 species